rnacentral:rRNA from 1 species
CGGACGGGUGAGUAACGCGUGGGUAACCCGCCUCACACAGGGGGAUAACAGUUAGAAAUGACUGCUAAUACCGCAUAACCCGAUAGGAUCGCAUGAUCCAGACGGAAAAGAUUUAUCGGUGUGAGAUGGACCCGCGUCUGAUUAGCUAGUUGGUGAGGUAACGGCCCACCAAGGCGACGAUCGGUAGCCGGACUGAGAGGUUGAACGGCCACAUUGGGACUGAGACACGGCCCAG